rnacentral:rRNA from 1 species
GAUGAACGCUGGCGGCGUGCCUAAUACAUGCAAGUCGAGCGAACGGACGAGAAGCUUGCUUCUCUGAUGUUAGCGGCGGACGGGUGAGUAACACGUGGAUAACCUACCUAUAAGACUGGGAUAACUUCGGGAAACCGUAGCUAAUACCGGAUAAUAUUUUGAACCGCAUGGUUCAAAAGUGAAAGACGGUCUUGCUGUCACUUAUAGAUGGAUCCGCGCUGCAUUAGCUAGUUGGUAAGGUAACGGCUUACCAAGGCAACGAUGCAUAGCCGACCUGAGAGGGUGAUCGGCCACACUGGAACUGAGUCACGGUCCAGACUCCUACGGGAGGCAGCAGUAGGGAAUCUUCCGCAAUGGGCGAAAGCCUGACGGAGCAACGCCGCGUGAGUGAUGAAGGUCUUCGGAUCGUAAAACUCUGUUAUUAGGGAAGAACAUAUGUGUAAGUAACUGUGCACAUCUUGACGGUACCUAAUCAGAAAGCCACGGCUAACUACGUG